rnacentral:misc_RNA from 1 species
UCCGGUUUAACACCGGCGGUCUCGUUAGAGUUCCCGGCCUAACCGCUGGCAACUAACGAUAGGGGUUUCGCUCGUUAAGGGACUUAACCCGACACUUCACAGCACGAGCUGACGACAGCCAUGCAGCACCUGUGUACGUUUCACCCGAAGGCAACCGGCUCCACUUUCAUGGACGGCAUCCGUACAUGUCAAACCCAGGUAAGGUUCUUCGCGUUGCUUCGAAUUAAUCCACAUGCUCCACCGCUUGUGUGAGCCCCCGUCAAUUCCUUUGAGUUUUAGCCUUGCGGCCGUACUCCCCAGGCGGCGCACUUAACGCUUUUGUUUCGGCACGAGCGGCGUCAGACCUCUCAUACCUAGUGCGCAUCGUUUACGGCGUGGACUAC